GUGAAUUUAGUUUAAAAAAAACCUUUAACUUGCAAUUAAAAAACCUAGUACAAACCCACUAGACUUCACA
rnacentral:tRNA from 1 species